rnacentral:lncRNA from 1 species
CCAGUCUUACACGCGAGCAACCUACCAACCGCUCACACAGAAGCACACCCAAAAACAACAGAACGAGGCUAAAGUCAUAGUGUGCAUACAAAUAGAAGAAGCGAUUCCUAGCCUAGUGCAAACUCAUCAACAGCCACCGUGCAAAUCUUCUUCAUACUGCAACCUUGUUCAUACAAGCUCCUUCCCCGGUGCUUGUAUAGGUGAAGAGGCUUAGGGCUCUGGACGAAAGCCUUGGUUCAAUGGGGAUCGAAGGAUACCGGCGACGUUGCUUCUUGAAGUUGUCGUCGAAGAGUUCCCCCCCUUCACUAGACUGUGGUCUGUUUGUUCUAGGAUUGUCGUGGAGGCUGUUUGGUGUGGCUUGACUUUCCCAAGGUUUGGCGAAGUUGUUGUGGAUGACUCCGCACGAAAGCCUUGGUUCGAUGGGGUCGAAAGAUACCGGCGAGACGAUGGUUCUUGAAGGCGUCAUCGAAGAGUCCUCACACUUUUCAGGUUGUGAACAUUUUGGCGGUGGAGUUUGAGUUAUUGACGUCGGUAAGGGUUGUACGAUUGUCCUCUGUUCAAUCGUGUGUUGUAAGGUUUUUCGGCCUAGUUUCCCUUAUAAACUGGGUCACCUUGUCUUCUUUUUUCUCUCUUAAUGUAAAUCGGCAAUGCUCCUGCCUUGCACGUC